rnacentral:tRNA from 1 species
GCCGCGGUGGCGGAAUUGGUAGACGCGCACGACUCAAACUCGUGUGGGGGAAACUUCAUGAGGGUUCGAUUCCCUCUCGCGGCA